rnacentral:misc_RNA from 1 species
GAAAUGCGAUAAGUAAUGUGAAUUGCAGAAUUCAGUGAAUCAUCGAAUCUUUGAACGCAUCUUGCGCUCCUUGGUAUUCCUUGGAGCAUGCCUGUUUGAGUAUCAUGAAAUCUUCAAAGUAAAUCUUUUGUUAACUCAAUUGGUUUCUACUUUGGUAUUGGAGGUCUUUGCAGCUUCACACCUGCUCCUCUUUGUUCAUUAGCUGGAUCUCAGUGUUAUGCUUGGUUCCACUCGGCGUGAUAAGUUAUCUAUCGCUGAGGACACUGUAAAAGGUGGCCAAGGUAAAUGCAGAUGAACCGCUUCUAAUAGUCCAUUGACUUGGACAAUACUUUUAUGAUCUGAUCUCAAAUCAGGUAGGACUACCCGCUUAACUUAAGC